CGUUCCCGGGCCUUGUACACACCGCCCGUCAAGUCACGAAAGUUGGUAACACCCGAAGCUCACGGCCCAACCCGCAAGGGAGGGAGUGGUCGAAGGUGGGACUGGCGAUUGGGACU
rnacentral:rRNA from 1 species